ACAGAAAAUACAGUGGAAGGAUUUGGAAAGGACUGUCACCUCUGCCUAGUACUGCACUGUGGCUGAGAGAGCUGGUGAGUUUAACACCAAUUAAAACAAGAAGAAGGAUGCUAAUGUUACCUUUGAUUUACCACUCUUUGCUGUUUUAAUUCAAUGAGAAGCUCAAUCUCUACACCUGAAAGAAUCUCCAACGGAAAAGCACAUACAAAAAAAGAUAUAUAUAGCCAUAAUGGAAAACAGUAUGGAGGUUGCUCAAAAAGUUAAGAAUGAACUAUCAUAUGAUCCAGCAAUCCUACUUCUAGAACUCUCAUCAAAGGAGUCAGGAUUGACAGGAUUCUUACUCGGGGAUGGAAAAUUCCAGCUGCAUUAUGCAUGCCGCGUAAAGCGGGGCAUCAAAACUUCUUCUGGAUCCUCCCUGUUUUCCUUGAUUAAAAGCCGUUUUUAAAUUGGAUGGGUUCUCAAGAUCUGUGGGGACAUAAAAUUAUGAUGCUUGUCUGGAGGCAGAGAAGAUGAAGAGGGCACAGACCAAUCUUAUAUAAUGAAUACUGCCUGCUGAAGUUCUCCAUUUGCUCUCAGGCCACAGCUGGGCAUUUGGGAAGAUGCGGAAGCAAAAGUCAGAGGUGCACCACCACACACACCUACACCUAUUUCUCUCGCUCAGCGUAAGGACUCCAGUUUACUUGAUCUUAAACAAGAAACCUGGUUAGCAUGUUCACCUUGACACUGUCUUGGUAAACACUUAGUUCUAUUUCCAAAUUCGGUCAAGUCUUCCUUCAUGGACUUGGUUCAUUCCUUACCUAGACUGUUAUCUCAGGUCUUUGUGUCUUGUCAUUCUUCUUAACACAUCUGUCAAAGUUAUCUUCCCUGUUUUCUGCUUUGAACUAAUAAACUACAAGGAAAGUAUCCUUGUUCUUUAGCA
rnacentral:lncRNA from 1 species